rnacentral:lncRNA from 1 species
GAUGAACAGCAGCAUGGAAGUGUAAGCCGAAUAAACCCUUUCCUCCCCAACUUGCUUCUUGGUCAUGAUGUUUGUGCAGGAAUAGAAACCCUGACUAAGACAAAUUGGUACCAGGAGUGGGGUAUUCCUGUGACAACCUGACCAUGUUUUGGGGAGGUCUGUGGAAGGACUUUGGAACUUUGGUCUUGAAGAUCCAUUUGUUGUUAAGAGCUCUGUGGGAUGUUGUGUAGGAGCUUGGAAGAUAAUGUUGAGAACAGUGCAGAAGAUGGAGGCCUGGCUUGUGAAAUUUCAGAGGGAAAAUUAAAGACUCUUUUCAGGGCCAUUUCUGUUUUGAUUGUGAAGAUUCUGUAGUUCUGGUUAGCUGGGGCUGAAGAAUCAGCUGUGAUUAACAAGAUACCAGAACUACUGAAGCAAAAGCUUUGCAUUACUGGGACUAUUGAUGCUGGUUAGCUGGAGCUAAGAAAUUAGCGGUGAUUAAGAAGAGACCAGCAUCAUUGAGGUGACAUCUUCUGGGAAGUGUUUUCUGAGAGCACAGUGGCUGUGUUCCAGAUAUAGCCAAAGUUGUACCUUGUGCUGUGGCUGGACUUGGUAAUGUGUAAGAGUCACCCAGGUGGUACUGGUUUUGAAGGCAUGAAGGAGUUGAGCAGAACAGCUGAGGCUUGGCACUGUGAGAGGCCAUGGAAGGCCAUUGGUGAAAGUCCAGCCUCAUUUGCAAUUGAUGGCCCAGGACUGAAGGGGUCAUGCAGUGUUUUGGAGAUGCCAGUACCAUGAGAUGACCACCAAGAACAGCAGCAGCAGUGGAGUACAGGCAUCUGGAGCCUAGAGGAUGACGCGUGUGCUACAAAGGGCCUGGCUGGAGAAGUGACCCAAGCCCUUGGAGGAGCCCAGAAGAUUGUGAGUUGGAUCCCAGACAUUGGACAGUUGGAGAUUGACUUUUGCUUUUGAUUGUGACUGUGCCCUGAUAUUUUCCCUCUUGAAGGAAGAAACUG